AAAUGGCAGGCAAAAACAAGAUACAGUGAGUGUCCCUAUUUACAUUUGGAGGUCUCAUAGCCAUCUGCUUUUUUCUUUAAUGUUUCAACCCUACCUGUCAGAGCUUUCUGGGAGGCAAGUAUUUACUUUUAAAUUAAAAAUGGGAAGGAUAUGUGUUGUUCAGGUGCAUUUUGAGAACUUGAGAGGUGCCUGGGGGUGUAGGCAAGAGACCAGUAUCCCCAAGGAGCACAAUAUUGGAUUCCAAGUUUGGGUUUGAAGAGGGAGAGGUGGGCUAGCUCUUUUGAAAGUGGUGUCUGGUGCUGAUAGAAAACCUAAGAACAAAUGGAGAAUUUGAAAGCUGCAAUGGGGCGUGAAAUGUCUCAGUGACCAAAGGCAUUAUGUGGACCAUGGACCCAGCAACCAGCUCUGGCAAGGACCAGAUUGUCAGGCUGGUCUGGCAGGUUGACCUUGGCUUAGUGCCUGCCCAUCUCAGCUCCAUGGACACUGUUGCACCUCCCAGGUUUUCCCCAGAAACAAAUGAUACCGGAUGUAAAGAUAGCAUCAGGAUU
rnacentral:lncRNA from 1 species